rnacentral:rRNA from 1 species
UACGUAGGCAGCGAGCGUUGUUCGGAAUUACUGGGCGUAAAGAGUGUGUAGGCGGUGUUCCCAGUCUGUUGUGAAAUCUCCCGGCUUAACUGGGAGGGUGCAGCGGAAACUAGAAUGCUAGAGGGUGGGAGAGGUAAGCGGAAUUCCUGGUGUAGCGGUGAAAUGCGUAGAUAUCAGGAGGAACACCUGCGGUGUAGACGGCUUUCUGGACCAUUGUUGACGCUGAGACACGAAAGCGUGGGUAGCAAACAGG